rnacentral:rRNA from 1 species
UGGGGAAUAUUGCACAAUGGGCACAAGCCUGAUGCAGCCAUGCCGCGUGUGUGAAGAAGGCCUUCGGGUUGUAAAGCACUUUCAGCGAGGAGGAAGGGUAGUGUGUUAAUAGCACAUUGCAUUGACGUUACUCGCAGAAGAAGCACCGGCUAACUCCGUGCCAGCAGCCGCGGUAAUACGGAGGGUGCAAGCGUUAAUAGGAAUUACUGGGCGUAAAGCGCACGCAGGCGGUUUGUUAAGUCAGAUGUGAAAUCCCCGCGCUUAACGUGGGAACUGCAUUUGAAACUGGCAAGCUAGAGUCUUGUAGAGGGGGGUAGAAUUCCAGGUGUAGCGGUGAAAUGCGUAGAGAUCUGGAGGAAUACCGGUGGCGAAGGCGGCCCCCUGGACAAAGACUGACGCUCAGGUGCGAAAGCGUGGGGAGCAAACA